rnacentral:snoRNA from 1 species
ACAAGCCCAUGAUGUUUGUUAUCCCUGUCUGAAAAUCUCGACUGAGGGAGAACAGUGUUCUGAGGCUUAC